GAUGAACGCUGACAGAAUGCUUAACACAUGCGAGUCUUUGGCGAAGCUGUGCUUGCACAGCCUAGCCAAGGCGGACGGGUGAGUAACGCGUAAGGAACUUGCCCUGCAGUCAGGGAUAACAGACGGAAACGACUGAUAAGACCUGGUAAAGUCAGGCGGACUCAUGUCCAGCCUGAUGAAAAGAGAUGCUGCAGGAGAGCCUUGCGUCCUAUUAGCUUGUUGGUGGGGUAACGGCCCACCAAGGCGAUGAUAGGUAGCCGGCCUGAGAGGGUGGACGGCCACUAGUGGUCUGAGAUACGGCCCUUUCUCCUACGGGAGGCAGCAGUGGGGAAUAUUGGACAAUGGGGGCAACCCUGAUCCAGCCAUUCUGUGUGCACGAUGAAGGUUUUCGGAUUGUACAGGGCUUUCAGCAGGGAAGAAAAAAAUGACGGUACCUGCAGAAGAAGCGACGGCUAAAUACGUG
rnacentral:rRNA from 1 species